rnacentral:rRNA from 1 species
AUUGAACGCUGGCGGCAGGCUUAACACAUGCAAGUCGGACGGUAACAGGGAGGAAGCUUGCUUUCUUUGCUGACGAGUGGCGGACGGGUGAGUAAUGCUUGGGAAUCUGUUUUAUGGAGGGGGAUAACUACGGGAAACUGUAGCUAAUACCGCGUAAUAUCGAGAGAUUAAAGUGUGGGACCGUAAGGCCACAUGCCAUAGAGUGAGCCCAAGUGGGAUUAGGUAGUUGGUGGGGUAAAGGCCUACCGAGCCGUCGAUCUCUAGCUGGUCUGAGAGGAUGACCAGCCACACUGGGACUGAGACACGGCCCAGACUCCUACGGGAGGCAGCAGUGGGGAAUAUUGCACAAUGGGCGCAAGCCUGAUGCAGCCAUGCCGCGUGAAUGAAGAAGGCCUUCGGGUUGUAAAGUUCUUUCGGUGGUGAGGAAGGUUGUAAUGUUAAUAGCAUUAUAAUUUGACGUUAGCCACAGAAGAAGCACCGGCUAACUCCGUGCCAGCAGCCGCGGUAAUACGGAGGGUGCGAGCGUUAAUCGGAAUAACUGGGCGUAAAGGGCACGCAGGCGGAUACUUAAGUGAGGUGUGAAAGCCCUGGGCUUAACCUAGGAAUUGCAUUUCAUACUGGGUAUCUAGAGUAUUUUAGGGAGGGGUAGAAUUCCACGUGUAGCGGUGAAAUGCGUAGAGAUGUGGAGGAAUACCGAAGGCGAAGGCAGCCCCUUGGGGGAAUACUGACGCUCAUGUGCGAAAGCGUGGGGAGCAAACAGG